AAAAACAAACUGAAGUCAAUCACCAUUAUUACAAAGUUGUUUGAAACUACAUGUGUAAUCCUAAAAACUUAAACGUGUUCAAGAGUGUUGAGGUCUGAGCCAUCAGCAUUUCGAUUUGGUCCUUUCUGCCUUAGAUAUCACAGUUUUUCUUUUGUGGAUAUCACAGAGUAAACAUCACAAUAUAGGCAGAAGCUUGUAUAAUUUCAAUCUAGUAUAGGCCACAAAAUAAAACAUUAUGCUGAUGCUGUUGUGAAUUGUAGAUUAAAAAAAACAUGGAACUACACCAUUAUUGGAGACCAAAUAAAAAUUCAUAGAUAAUCUCCAGUAUAUACAAUAGCUAGCUUUACAGGGUUAUCAAACAAUCAGAUACUAGAAGAGACUCCUCAUUGAGUCAUUAUUGGAGAUUAAAAUGAACCAACUUUGAAAAAUAAAAGGGGCGAUCUUCACAUGUCAAUCCACUAGGAAAUUAUUCCAUCCAAGAAUUAACAUACUUCACCAUCACUACUGUUUCAAAGAAUCAAAUGCUAAUAUACUGUAAUGACUUCAUUUCACAAGUGAAUCAAUUCAUCAACCAUGAACAAAUAUUGACAUGCACACAAAGCAAAAUGAUUUGUAGUUAAACAUCAGGAUUCCAACAGAUUCGUCAUGUUCAUAGAGUUAACAACUCAAAUAUUCAUUCAUUUUUUCAAAUAGAAAAUAACAGAAGUAAGCGGACGCACCUAAAGGCAGAAAACAUCAAUUAGAGGACCAAAUAGAGGUAUGAACUUUAAAGCUGGAGCGCAGCAGCUCCAAAAACAAACAGCCCCAGCAGAUUCAACAACUUCAAUCGCUCAAACCAUUGAGAGAAAUCCCAGAAAAUGUGCAUUUAUUGAAUGAAAACCCGAAACCAGGUUUAAAUCUUCCUUUUCAUCAUUUUUUUUCUUUCUUUUUUUGAUUUUUCGGAGUUCUUUUUUUUAGAUAUGAAAUUCGGUACUUUUAAAUCCAGAUGUUUCUAUUUGUGAAAGUGAGAAAGGAAUGAAGAAGGAGAGGGGGAAUAGCGUUGUUCUGGGUCUGUGAGAUGAGGAAUGGAGCAGCGUUUGUUUUUGGGUGUGGAAGAAAAUGGGGAAGAAGCCUUUUUCUUCUUGGUCUAAAAGAAUAUGAGAAAAUCUGAUUGUGG
rnacentral:lncRNA from 1 species